AACAACCCAAUUACGGAUGAUGCACUAGUAAUCAUUCAUAUAUGUAUGUAAAUUAAUGUUCGUGUGUUUGUAUAAGAAAAUGUAACAUAUACAAAAUGAUGCAGAUGAUUACAUAUUCAUGUAAUACGAUUUACAAAUAUAAGGAACAAAAGAGCUUGACAUUGUAAUGAAUUAAUGAAGAGAAAAUCACAAAUGUUGCUUCUACACAGAGAAAAGGAUGUGUCGGUGUGCAGUGUAGACUAAAGAGUCAGGAGUAGUUCAGAGUCGGACCAAUUCAAUACUUGGAAUCUUUAGGAAGUCUGUUUUCUAUUUUGGGAUAAUUGGUUUUGUGAACAUUAUGGUUAUUUAUUUCAUGGGGACAAAAUAGUUAUUAAAAUAUUGUAUAUGUAUGUACAAAUUAUUACAGAAUGAUAUAAGGUGCAUGGUAAUAUGCAUGUGGUGGUUACUGUUGAAAAGGUACAUUACUCUUCAAUGAAGAAAGAGUCAAAUUUAUUUCGUGUGGUCCUUUUUCCUUUUAUCUAUUUGUCGACCACAUAAGUUAUCAAACAUUAGAUAACGAUGGAAUGAUUGAAAAUAAAAUUAAGUUGCAGAAUGAAAAAUAAAAAAUGAAAAAUUGAAAAUUUUGUGAUUGAAUAAGUGUUGCAGAAUGACAUAUAUAAAUUAUAAAAUAUUUAAUAUAACUAUUUUAUAUUAUUAUAUAGCAAUGAUUAUUAAAAAUAACAUAAUAAAAAAUAUUAGAAAACAUGUUUUAUUAUAAUUGUUAUUGAUUUAUUUUCAUAUAUCUAUACUAAAAAAAUCUAGUGAUAUUGAUAAACACCAUAAAUAAAAUUUUAUUCACUAUAUACAUUUUUUUCAUAAAAAUCAAAUAUUUUUAGUUAUAAGAAUUCAAAUAUAGUAUUAAUUAUAGAGAUAAAUAAGGUAAUGGUUUAUUUAAUUAAAUCACUACACAAUAAAUCUACUCAACAUUCAUUUAACUGUUUGGUGAAAUUUUAUUUAUUUUAUUUUAAAUAAAAUUUAUUUAUCAUUCUAUAAUAUUUUGUUGAUUAGUAAAAUAUUUCGAGGAACAAAUAAAAACUAAAGUUAAAAAAGUCAAAACAGUAAACCUUGUAAAUGGGCUGGCCCAUGGGCUUUUAAGGACAGCAACUGUGCUAAUCCCCAACAAUACAGAGCUUUUACUAGAUUCUAGAGGGCAGCUGCUUGACCUUCUCUUCUGAACGAUCCCGCCAAAGACACUCGAGAGAGACUGUGUGUGAAAAUCAGUGAGCUGAAGAGAUCCAGCGAAGAUGAGUACAAUGAAGUUUUGUCGCGAAUGUAAUAACAUCUUAUACCCAAAGGAAGACAAGGAGCAAUCGAUACUCCUCUACGCUUGUCGUAACUGUGAUCACCAGGUACAUACAUUGCUUUCUUUGAUCAAAUUAGGGUUCCAUGUGCUUUGUAAACGAAGCUGUGUGUUUUAUGUGCUAUGAAACAAAACUAGGGUUUCGUGUUUCUAAUGUGCUUUUGAGACAGAGCUAUGGCUUACACGGUUAAGAAUCGAAGCUUAGAACUUGAAAUUAAACCGAGAAAAGGAGAAAAUUAACGAGUUUUAGAUCCACAAUCCAGCUCUCGUUGUCCUUGUUUUUAGAUCAAUGCUUAUAUCAGUUAAGAGUUGCUGUUAAGUGUCAAACGCUUGGAACUAUAUGACGUGAUUGAUUUUCUAUGUUAACGUGAUCCAUCCAUCCAGCAGCCUUGAACCUUUCGUGUUACACGUUAUCGAGUUCUUGAAUUUUCAGGGUCUUUUAUGAUCAUUUUAGUUUUUACCUAGUCUAAUUAUGAAUUUGCUGAUUUCUGAGGGGCCGUUCAGAAAACUCGUUCUUGUCUAUGAAUACGUGGAAACUGAAAAUUGUCAUCUUUAGCCGCCGGCUGCUGUGUGAUAUCAUAAAAAGUUGAUGAGUAUAAUCUUCUCGAUAGAACUAUUAAUGAUAAAGCCUACGUUACCGUAUUGAAUUAUGUAUGUUGAAAUUGUCAACAAAUUUAUUUUUAUUGAAGUUUAUGUUUCAAACGAAUCAUUGUAUAUAAUACA